rnacentral:rRNA from 1 species
UACGGAGGGAGCUAGCGUUAUUCGGAAUUACUGGCGUAAAGCGCACGUAGGCGGAUUGUUAAGUCAGGGUGAAAUCCUGGAGCUCAACUCCAGAACUGCCUUUGAUACUGGCGAUCUUGAGUCCGGGAGAGGUGAGUGGAACUGCGAGUGUAGAGGUGAAUUCGUAGAUAUUCGCAAGAACACCAGUGGCGAAGGCGGCUCACUGGCCCGGUACUGACGCUGAGGUGCGAAAGCGUGGGAGCGAACGAGG